GGUGCAUGGUUAUCGUCCGCUCGUUUCGUGAGAUGUUGGGUUAAGUCCCGCAACGAGCCCAACCCUUGAUUUUAGUUGCCAUCAUUAAGUUGGGCACUCUAAGGUGACUCCCGGUGACAAACCGGAGGAAGGUGGGGAUGACGUCAAAUCAUCAUGCCCCUUAUGACCUGGGCUACACACGUGCUACAAUGGACGGUACAAAGAGCUGCAAGACCGCGAGGUGGAGCUAAUCUCAUAAAACCGUUCUCAGUUCGGAUUGUAGGCUGCAACUCGCCUACAUGAAGCUGGAAUCGCUAGUAAUCGCGGAUCAGCAUGCCGCGGUGAAUACGUUCCCGGGCCUUGUACACACCGCCCGUCACACCACGAGAGUUUGUAACACCCGAAGUCGG
rnacentral:rRNA from 1 species